AUUGAACGCUGGCGGCAGGCCUAACACAUGCAAGUCGAGCGGAUGAAGGGAGCUGGCUCCUGGAUUCAGCGGAGGACGGGUGAGUAAUGCCUAGGAAUCUGCCUGGUAGUGGGGGAUAACGUCCGGAAACGGGCGCUAAUACCGCAUACGUCCUGAGGGAGAAAGUGGGGGAUCUUCGGACCUCACGCUAUCAGAUGAGCCUAGGUCGGAUUAGCUAGUUGGUGGGGUAAAGGCCUACCAAGGCGACGAUCCGUAACUGGUCUGAGAGGAUGAUCAGUCACACUGGAACUGAGACACGGUCCAGACUCCUACGGGAGGCAGCAGUGGGGAAUAUUGGACAAUGGGCGAAAGCCUGAUCCAGCCAUGCCGCGUGUGUGAAGAAGGUCUUCGGAUUGUAAAGCACUUUAAGUUGGGAGGAAGGGCAGUAAGUUAAUACCUUGCUGUUUUGACGUUACCAACAGAAUAAGCACCGGCUAACUUCGUG
rnacentral:rRNA from 1 species